UGCAGCUUAAUUGGCCUGCUACACGGUAUGUUUGGCUGGAUUUUGUGGCAAGCAGAGUCUGGUGGGGGGCCUUAAACAAAGCUCACCCAGCAUGUCUUCUGCCUUGCCAAACUCUAAAAAUAGAAAGCUCAACUUCUGCAGAGCUAAGGAGCUGAACUAGUCAAUGGUUAGAAGAUAGGUUUGUCAUCUCAAGGGUGGUUUGUGUUUCCUAUUAACUGGGGUUGGAAUGACAAGGGGCAAUCUUUUGAGCACUAAAGUCUGGACAGAAUGGCAUAUGACCGCUAUGCAAAGGACUGAAUCCUGGUUAUAAAUCAUAGCAACAACAGCCUGAAACUGAGCUAUCACAGACUCUUAAAUCUCCAAAGUGUGGCCUGGGUAAGCCAUUAUGAGAACUCUGCCUUCUCAGAUAAAAAAAAUUCCAUGCCUCAGAGCUUAAAGCAUACCUCCCUAUAAUCCAUUUCUUUGUUCCAGCCAGACUUUCUUUCUGGAAUUUUCCUCCAUGCUCCGUGACCUGAUCAAGGGUUAAAGAGGAUUCCAUAUCCCACACUACAUUAGAGAAGAGUGACAGCAUAUCAGAGAGAGGCAUUGUGGACCUGUGUUUAAGUCAGCCUGUCUGAAUCCACAUCCUGGCUCCAUCCUUCUUUACUAGUGGAAGGACUGAAGCUCAAGAAGCUAAUGAGUGGCAGAAGCUUCACUUAACCAGGUUCCUUGGAUUUUCAUCAAACUACAGCAGUUUCUUCUGUACCAUGAACCAGUUAUUCUAUUACACUACCGUGGCCAGAUCCUGGAUAGAAUUCUUUGUGGAACCAGAGGCUGAUGGAGGUUUUGCCAGCUUGAACAUGUAGUUUCCAAAAUGACUCUGGUUAUCAAUAUCCAUCCAGUAGAAGGAGAAAGAGGAAGAAGAUUGUGUGGUAGAAGACUGAAUGAGCCAGUCCUGGAGUCCCUACUACUCAUACUCCAUUGGCCGGAACUCAGUCACAUGGCCACAUCUGACCAUGAGGCAGUCUGGGAAAUGGAUUCCAGCUGUGUUCCAAUGAGGAAGCAGGUUCGAUGAAGAUCUAACCAAUCUCUCUCUCACAGAGGCGAUUUGCCACGAGAAGGACAUGGCCUGGUGGCUACUGCACCUUCAGCUUCCGCACACAUAAAUACAUAUGGAACACACCGGACCUAGUCUCCAGCCUGGAGCCAUGCCUACAGCAUGGCUGAAGCAUGAAGCAGGGCUAACUGGCCACAUUCAACCUCCAUCAGCUGAAGCACAAUACACCUGCAAACCUAUGAGUCUGAGAAUAAAGGCUUGUUAUUGAAAGCCACUAAGAUUUGGGGUGGUUUGUUAUCCAACAUUCUGAUGGCAACAGCAGUAAUAGAUCACCAGGUCUUUGUGAUUUUGCUUUUAAAUAAAUUCACUAAUUCUAAA
rnacentral:lncRNA from 10 species